CCCCAACGAUUUACCGGAUCGCAUUCUGAUAAUGCAUUGACUUGAAUCCAACCUCAGCUUGAAUUAUCUCCACCAGAUGCCCCACUCCUGUUUGGGACUUUGCUAUCAUGUCAUAGCAUAGCAUUCAACUUCAUGAUGAAUCAUAUCAUGAAACAAAGUCACCAUGGCUCUCUACUACAGGCACUGGCGUUCUGCUCCUCUAGAG
rnacentral:lncRNA from 1 species